rnacentral:rRNA from 1 species
UACGUAGGGGGCAAGCGUUGUCCGGAAUCAUUGGGCGUAAAGCGCGUGUAGGCGGCUCGAUAAGUCUGCUGUGAAAGUCCAAGGCUCAACCUUGGGAUGCCGGUGGAUACUGUCGAGCUCGAGUCCGGAAGAGGAGUGUGGAAUUCCUGGUGUAGCGGUGAAAUGCGCAGAUAUCAGGAGGAACACCAAUGGCGAAGGCAGCACUCUGGGACGUGACUGACGCUGAG